rnacentral:lncRNA from 1 species
CCUCACCUUUUGCAGCAGGGCCGGCCCGGGCAGGCUGUGCGUUCCAGGAGAGGGGGAAGGGUAGGGAGACAGUAGAUGGGUCUGACAAAAAAAAAACAAACAACAACAACAACAAAAACAAACAAAAACAAACAAAAAAAACAACGGCAACGCUCUGAGGAGGAACGGUACUUUACUAAAUCCAACAAAAUCAAACAAAAUAAGAGAGAAAAGAGUAUCCAAAAUUUGAGGCCUUACACUAGUAGACUGCAGGGAAGCACGUGCUUUCCUCAGUGACAAACCCAGAGACAGAGCGAGCGACCCCUGUCCCACCCGCAGCUCCACCUUUCUUAUUCUGCGUGUCAGGUCCUCUGCGAAUGCGGCUCCUUCCCUCCCCUCCCCUCUGAGAACCCAAAAUGCCCAAAAAAGGCAGUCCACAGAACCAGAACAUAAACUCUUUAACUCCCACUGCUUUACAUGAUGCUCUGAUGUGGAAUACCGACAAAAAUCACAAAACCACAACAGGGAAACAGCUUUAAGGCUCUGCUUUACUCUGCUGUAAGAGACUCUAAGUCAGAUCACUUUUUUUCCAGUAUCUUGAGGUGAUGAGGGAAAUAGAUCCUGGGAUUUGUACAUGCAUGUGGUAACCAUUAACCCAGUGCAGCCUUAGUGCCUUGAGAGCAGUGAACUGGUAUGUUCUAACCUAUGCCUAUACCUCCCAGAAUGGUACAACUUCCAUGGAACUAGUUCAG